UACGGAGGGAGCUAGCGUUGUUCGGAAUUACUGGGCGUAAAGCGCACGUAGGCGGCUUUGUAAGUUAGAGGUGAAAGCCCGGGGCUCAACUCCGGAACUGCCUUUAAGACUGCAUCGCUUGAAUCCAGGAGAGGUGAGUGGAAUUCCGAGUGUAGAGGUGAAAUUCGUAGAUAUUCGGAAGAACACCAGUGGCGAAGGCGGCUCACUGGACUGGUA
rnacentral:rRNA from 1 species